CUCCAUGACUUUGGACUGCGGUGGCAGUAUCAUUUCCUCACCAUGGGAGAACAUAUUCUUGUUUAUUGGCAAAGCCGUCACCACUUAACAGGUAUCAGACCGACUGGCAGCAUUC
ensembl:snoRNA